UGACAAAAUGUUAUCUCCUGUGGAUAAGAGCACAUCACUCUAUAGUGAUAUUACUGUGAUUUACUACAGGCAUCUUGACUUUUAAGAAUCCCCCUCCAUGAACUCGCUGCAUAUUCUUCAUUUCUCUCCUAUCUUCCUUCUCCACCACCAUCAUUAGAUAACUAGAGCACCACCGCCGAAUCGUUGCCCUCUAGAACCAUGACCUUGCCUUACCUCACCAACUUGCACUUUUGGAUUUGAUUUUUUCGGUUGUGAACAGAUCGGGAAAGAAUCGACUAUAUAACAUCUCACAGACCUUCACCCAUUCUCCUCUUCUACUACAUUGUUAGGAGCCAAAGAGGUCUUGCAUUUACUGCUAACCCAGGUAAACCAAAUAUGUGAAAACCCCAGCCAAAGGAAAAUAUCAAUUUGUUCAUCAUUUUUGCUUAACAAGACUUUUAGCUGUUUUGGUUGAUAAUUUACUUUCCGUACUUAGAAGAUGAUGUAGAUAUGGAUUUCAUAUUCAUCUCGAAUCCAUGAAGAUUAAAGUUCAAGAAGUUAAAAUCUAUGAAAAAGAAAGAAUAUUGGAGUAGUGUGCUUCUAAUCAGGGAACCGGUGGUACAGAUAAACCCUAAAUAUAACUGGGCACAUUUACGCAUCGGCUACCAGUACCACUAUUUCUUCUCUUCUUUUCACAGUGCACUUUCCUUUUUCAUAGAUCACUUUAUUUUUCUUUCUACAAUCUAACUAACACCUGAACAGCUUAUUUCCAAUAUUUCUCAUAUCGAUAUCGUUUAUUCUGACAUCCAAUGGCCCAAGAACUUACCACUCACCACCGUCAUCAUGAACUUCGCCACAUUCAAGCACCAUUUUUUUGACCCUUUUUUUCUAAUCUUUCUCUACAUAAGCUUUAAUUUCAUUUAACAAGUAUCAUGUGCAGGUACAUGAAGAAUCAUAAAUCAAAACUUAAAAUUGUAAUGUGAAAUUAGGGGAAAGAGGAUCUACGUUGAUCAUUGAUCAAGUUCAGAUUAGUUAUGUUGAGUGGUUCAUGAUCCAGGCGAUCUAUGAUGAAAACGACAUCUUAAAAUAAAUUUGAUAACAAUUUUUAUAUAAAGAUCAGCGGAAUAAUCUGAUGAUACAAGACUUAAACAUCUCCCAAAGAAAUUAUCAUUUUUAGCCUAUCUUAAUUAGCUUAAGAAAAAGACCAAUUAUCAUUUUUAGCCUAUCUUGAUUAGCUUAAGACAAAAGACCUGUUGUUGUAGUUUUAUGAUAAUAUGCUAUUUUCUUUC